UACGUAGGGUGCAAGCGUUACUCGGAAUUACUGGGCGUAAAGCGUGUGUAGGCGGAUUUGUAAGUACCUUGUGGAAUCCCACGGCUCAACCGUGGAACUGCUCGGUAUACUGCGGGUCUUGGGCCAACUAGGGGCAGCCGGAACAAGCGGUGGAGCGGUGAAAUGCGUAGAUAUCGCUUGGAACGCCGACGGUGAAAACAGCUCGCUGGGGGUGCUGCUGACGCUGAGACACGAAAGCCAGGGGAGCGAACGGG
rnacentral:rRNA from 1 species